CAUGCUGUAUCCCUGUAGCUCCAGUCAUGGGGACCCAAUCUCACCGUGCUGCCAGUCCACAUCCCAGGUGCUGGCAGUGUGCAUUUGUCCUAUCGGAAAGUUUCCACCUGGAAGUCCCACUGUGUUCGAGAGAAGAGAGUUCUGGUGCUACAGGCUGCAGAUCUGUGGGCAAACCAAUGCACACAGCAGGCUCCAGCUGUGCCAGCCUAUUUCUGUCCAGCUCUCAUGAGCCUUUGUGGAUGAAGUCCAUCAGUCUUGUGGAGCUGGAGCUCUGUCCAGAGCAUCUCAGCAAAGCAGCACCUACCUGAAAGGCAGCUCAGAGCACCCACUGAUCCCCAACUGAGUGAUGGGGACUUAAAUCACGUUCAUCAGGGGUUUAUAAGCCUCUGUGCUGAAUGUGUGAAGUCUCCUAAACAGGUGAGCAAUAAAACAUACGAGACCUCGUGGCGGGGAGGCAGCAGCACUGCAGUCUGGUGGUUGGAGCACGCAGGCAGCAUGCCAGGACACUCGAGGUCAGUGCUUCAGUGCUUGGCUCUGUCAUAAACUGUUUGGUGGCCUGGGAAACGGGCAGAAGGCAGAGGGCUUUCCCCAGGACCUGAGCUUUUCCACAGCAGUGAGCUCUUCUGGAGGGUCUCAUGAUCACUUGAACCCACAGCGGCACAGAAAGCCCCAGGGACAAUUAGGAACAGCUCUCCUUCCACCAGGGCCAUCUACCUUCCUCUUCCUCGGUGCUCUGUAAGACUGGAGCAGCACAGCUGGCUGCUUUCCAGGCCUUUCCCUGGGUGAGUUGCACUGAAUACAUUUCCCAGCCAU
rnacentral:lncRNA from 7 species